rnacentral:snRNA from 8 species
AUACUUACCUGGCAAGGGAGACACUGUGAUCAAGAAGGAGGUUCACCCAGGGCGAGGCUCAGCCAUUGCACUCCGGCUGUGCUGACCCCUGCGAAUUUCCCAAAUGUGGAAAUCUCGAUUGCAUAAUUUCUGGUAGUGGGGACUGCGUUCGCGCUCUCCCCU